AGAGCGAACGCUGGCGGCAGGCCUAAUACAUGCAAGUCGAACGCACCUUCGGGUGAGUGGCGGACGGGUGAGUAACACGUGGGAACGUGCCCUUUGGUUCGGAAUAAUCCGGGGAAACCUGGCCUAAUACCGGAUGUGCCCUUCGGGGGAAAGAUUUAUCGCCAUUGGAGCGGCCCGCGUCUGAUUAGCUUGUUGGUGGGGUAAUGGCCCACCAAGGCUACGAUCAGUAGCUGGUCUGAGAGGACGACCAGCCACACUGGAACUGAGACACGGUCCAGACUCCUACGGGAGGCAGCAGUGGGGAAUAUUGGACAAUGGGCGAAAGCCUGAUCCAGCCAUGCCGCGUGAGUGAUGAAGGCCUUAGGGUUGUAAAGCUCGUUUGUCAGGGAAGAUAAUGGCGGUACCUGAAGAAUAAGCACCGGCUAACUUCGUGCCAGCAGCCGC
rnacentral:rRNA from 1 species